GGAAUACCUCGGCUGUGCGUGGGAUGUGCUUGGUGCCCCCCUGCUCCUGCAGCUGGCAGCACACCUGGAGGACAAGGUGCUGAGCUGUUCCCUUGUCCUGAUGCUCGUUUCUCUGCAUGUUUUGGUACCUUGCCCUUACUGAAAGGGGCACCUGCAAUAGCUGCUGGAGUGUCUUCACACCGAGAUGUGAGAAGGCGAACAGCCUGACCGCCUGCAGGCUUGGGACUUCUCAACCAAACGGUCCUGAGCAGGAGGAUUUGCCCUGGGACGUUCUCUCUCUGCUGGGAUCUCGAGUCCGGAGCCCUGGUGGACUGCGGAGGGGUUUGGAUGCUCCCUUCUGCCUCCGUCUGGGAAUGAGCCUUGCUGCCAGAAGGCCCCAGACACCUGCUUCUCCCCCAGGCUGCUGGAUUAUUUCUCUUGGCAUCGCCCUGCCAGUGCAGCGGUUUUUACGGAUCUCGUGGAACUGCCUUUGUUGCAUGAAAUCGCCCAGCUCCCAGAUGUGGGAAAGCAGCAGCUCCAGCCCCGGGCUCAGAGCCCUGCUCUUUUUUUUGGGGCUACUUCAUUCAGCGUCGUGGCUCUUUGGAGGAGGAUGGAGUCCGUGCACCUGUGUAGGACAAGUCCUGCUGGUCUUAGGGUCGGUGGUGAAGGCUCGGGGUGCGGGUACCCAAGAGGGGAGCCACGGCGCUGCUGCAGGGACCGUGGCCGCCCAGCCGAGGACGGAUGCUUCAGCUGCGAGCAUGGAGGGAGGAAAAGCAGAGGCAGCAUGACACGUCUGGCACCCAGCAGGGGAGCAGGGUGCACCCGGGGCCGUGGCGAGCUCCUGCACCCCACACCGACCAUGGGAACAGCCCCGGCGCAGCCACCCAGCGUGCGCUCGCUGUGACUCACGUCCCCGCUCGGCGAGGGGUCCUCCCGCACUGACCUCGCUCCGCUGGCUCCCACGCAGGGCAGAGAUGACUAAAUUACUGCUCCCCGCUGGGCUCUGCAAAUUCUCCUCUUGGCCGGGCGGCUUCCAGGCCGGAUACGUGGGGCUGGAUGGCUGAGUGCUCUCAGGUCACACAGUAGCUCCGAUUUUUCCCCUGUGAAGGACCAAGCGCUUGCCCGGUUCCAAGGAAGCAGCUGUGGAAUUUUAUUUUAUUUUAGUUUUUUUUGUACCCCUCUGCUCUUCCUUCUGACUCUUUUUGUGGUCUUGGGCUUUUCACGAGGAUGGUUGGACCCAGCCCGCGGCACCAAGUGUGGUCUCCUGCAGAGGGACGAAAGCCUCCGGAGGAGCCGCACGCUGGGACCGAGGUGGCAGCCUCAACGCUGUGGGUUUGAAACUGUCUGGGAGAGUGUCCCUCGUGUCACCAGCACUGCACGGCCGUGUGUCACCCAUCGGGGUGCCCGCCCGGUACAGCACAGGAGUCGCCGGCUGCCCCUGGGGCUGAGCAUCCUCAUCCCUGCCACAUCCCCCGUGGGACGAGGAGGGGCCGGGGGGCACGGGGCCAAGCCGCAGCGAGGGGAAUGUCAGGACGGGGAAAAAUGUCACCCCCAGAAACAAUUAAAUGGCUUAAUAAAACCCUUUGCCUCUCGGA